GACGAACGCUGGCGGCGUGCCUAAUACAUGCAAGUAGAACGCACAGUUUAUACCGUAGCUUGCUACACCAUAGACUGUGAGUUGUGAACGGGUGAGUAACGCGUAGGUAACCUGCCUGGUAGCGGGGGAUAACUAUUGGAAACGAUAGCUAAUACCGCAUAAUAUUAAUUAUUGCAUGAUAAUUAAUUGAAAGGUGCAAUUGCACCACUACCAGAUGGACCUGCGUUGUAUUAGCUAGUAGGUGAGGUAACGGCUCACCUAGGCGACGAUACAUAGCCGACCUGAGAGGGUGAUCGGCCACACUGGGACUGAGACACGGCCCAGACUCCUACGGGAGGCAGCAGUAGGGAAUCUUCGGCAAUGGACGAAAGUCUGACCGAGCAACGCCGCGUGAGUGAAGAAGGUUUUCGGAUCGUAAAGCUCUGUUGUAAGAGAAGAACGGGUGUGAGAGUGGAAAGUUCACACUGUGACGGUAUCUUACCAGAAAGGGACGGCUAACUACGUG
rnacentral:rRNA from 1 species